rnacentral:rRNA from 1 species
GUUUGACCUCGGAUCAGGUAGGGAUACCCGCUGAACUUAAGCAUAUCAUAAGCCGGAGG